rnacentral:rRNA from 1 species
GGGGAAUAUUGCGCAAUGGGGGAAACCCUGACGCAGCGACGCCGCGUGAGCGAUGAAGGCCUUAGGGUUGUAAAGCUCUGUUUUAGGGGACGAAUGUCCAUUUCAGUAAUAUGGGAGUGGAAUGACGGUACCCUAAGAGGAAGCCCCGGCUAACUACGUGCCAGCAGCCGCGGUAAGACGUAGGGGGCGAGCGUUGUCCGGAAUUACUGGGCGUAAAGAGCACGUAGGCGGGAACUUAAGUCAGGUGUGAAAGACCGGGGCUCAACUCCGGGGUUGCACUUGAAACUGGGUUUCUUGAGGGCAGGAGAGGAAAGCAGAAUUCCUGGUGUAGCGGUGAAAUGCGUAGAAAUCAGGAGGAAUACCAGUGGCGAAGGCGGCUUUCUGGACUGACCCUGACGCUGAGGUGCGAAAGCGUGGGUAGCAAAC